UGCAAGCAAGCGAGGAUCCUCCAAAAAAAAGAAUACCAGCGAGUCCUGGAGAGUUGAGCGAAGUAACCCGGCCUCAGCCCCUGAACAAGUCAAUCCGCCGCCUAAUGCCAUCGGAUUGCAUCUGCCGGCAGAUUGACUGGAUAUUGAGUAGUUUCCAAUGAAGCUCACUGUGAUUUGCAUUCUCUCUUCACCCCCGUCCUCCCCCACCCCACCCCCCCACCUCCAGCAUGCUUUUUCUUUAUAUAAAGCCGGUGGUGCAAGCCCGUAGUGUUUAUCUCCUGUACACUAUCAUGUAUUAACCGUUUAAAUGCAUAAACCAUUACGGCUGGCUUCAUGGGGCCGGCGAUUAAUUAUAGACCCUUUUUUGUAUGUGUGUGUGAGGGGGGGGGGGGGGGGUGAAGUGGCCGAAGUUUGACCAUCCGGAAAAAGAAAUUGCUUGAAACUGGCAUGCCCCCUGAUCGUGAUAGAUAAUUCGGAUUUACCCCCCCCCCCCCCCCCCGCGCCACCGAGACACCGGGGCAGACUCGGUUCCCCCCACCCUCCCUGGAAAACAGUCUCAGUGCCCCUUCCUGUAACCAAGCCGUAUUAAGUUAGCUAAAGUGAAACUCUGUCUAUGUUUGCUACUUUUUGAAGGACGUGCUUUAGGAAACUGCAAUCUGUCUUGAUUCCCUAUCCUCCCCCCCCCCCUCCAAACCCACCAGAAAAAGGCACAGUAAUUCAGAGUGAAAGCUAUUCCAACUCAUAGAGACACAUCUGUGCAAUGACUUUGACUCCUCGUGUAAGGCCCGUCACAAAUAAAAGAUCCAGUUCACUGAAUGUUUGUGAAAUCGCUAAAAUCCUUCCUUUCAAAUUACUUACCUCUUGACACUCGAUAAUAAUCCAGGCCCGUGAAUUAUGUCGGAGUAGACUUUUAUUUUUUAAGCUGUCUUUUAACCUGACAAUCGUGUGACAGACUUAAGAGAUAUCCGUUUUGAAAAACAGACCUUUCAUUGGAGAGAAAGAAAAAUGAGAAUUGUAAGGAAGGCCACACGUUUCCUUUUCGGAGUUGGAAUGGGGUCUCUCGAAGUGACAGUUUUUCCCACUCUCAGAGUUUGGAACGGGCCAAAAUCUAAAAGAGACUGAAAUACAGCCGGCGCCUCGUGUUAUUUCUUACACAUACUAUACGAUUGAUCUUUUUUUUAUCUUAAAAAGAAGAAACGUUUUAUUGUAAAACACACAGCCGUAGGUUACAAGAUGCUGGAACUUUCCACACGUGUACCCACUAAAGAAUUCUUAAAAGAGUAAAGAUGCGUGAACAAUUCUUUAAACCUGGCCCGGAGAAAGCAGUAACCACUGUGUUUCAGCAGCUCGCAAGGUGCCCCACAUUGCUGGAGACGAGACCUCGCUGAGGAUAAGUGAUGUUGCAGCCUUUGAGGGCAAGUCUAAUUAACAGAGAAAACAGGCUGGGAAAACACAGACCCGUAACGUCGCCCCGGCACAAAGCGAAAACAAAAUACUACCGCCCCCCAAUCCGGACGCACCAAACAAAACAUGGUAAAUUGAAGGCCGAUUUCGUGAGUUCGGGAUUUAAAAGGUGCUUGGAAUAACCGAGGACUGGCAGAAUGGUGACCAACUUGGUACCAGAAUUUCCGGACGUGUAGGAGACCUUUCCCGGGAACUGUUCCCAAAUUCCCAAAUCAUUAAAAUGAGCUUUUUUGGGGGCAGAGAGGACUGUCUGUAAGGCCUAGGGAAUCCGCCUCUCGUUUGGUUUUGAUGCUGCGGUCAAUAUUUAGAAUCUGCACUCGAUUUCGUUUUCACAGCCCCGUAUGAGACCAGCUGUAGUCCACGUCAGUUCUGUGGCUGCUCGGGUUUACAGAUGGUAUUAUAAAAAUAAAACGCAAAGGAUUGAG